rnacentral:rRNA from 1 species
CGACGAGUUUGAUCCUGGCUCAGAUUGAACGCUGGCGGAAUGCUUUACACAUGCAAGUCGAACGGUAGAGGGGGCAACCCCUCGAGAGUGGCGAACGGGUGAGUAAUAUAUCGGAACGUGCCCAGUCGUGGGGGAUAACGUAGCGAAAGUUACGCUAAUACCGCAUACGAUCUAAGGAUGAAAGCGGGGAUCGCAAGACCUCGCGCGACUGGAGCGGCCGAUAUCAGAUUAGGUAGUUGGUGGGGUAAAGGCUCACCAAGCCAACGAUCUGUAGCUGGUCUGAGAGGAUGAUCAGCCACACUGGGGACUGAGACACGGCCCAGACUCUACGGGGAGCAGCAGUAGGGGAAUAUUGGACAAUGGGGCGCAAGCCUGAUCCCAGCCCA